GUACCUGCGAGAGUGUAUCUGUUCCACUGAAUAGUCACUGGCUAUAGCUAGCUUCCCUACAUUGACAAAACCACCAAACAUCACUAUGUAUAGCAGCAUCCACUCUCCUCUUGUUUUUAAGAGUUGCCUGUCUCCUUGGAUAUCAUCAACUGUGAUCACUGGCUGUGGCAGAGGAGUCAGAUGGGGGAUUUCUUUUGAAGCCUCUGAAGUCACAUGACCCUGGCUGCAGGCUGGAGUGAGGAGGCUGCUUUUCUCUGAUCCUAGUCUGCUUACAUGCCUCAGUUCACACCUUUGCCUUGCUGAUUCCUGCAUUGUCACCCGGCAUGAUGCCGGUCUUGUGGAAGACCAUGUUGAACAUGCUGUAUGUUUGUGUUUACUUAAGCCAGAAAGCAGGGGAAGAAGCAUAGCCCAGAGUAUUUAUUUAUUUAACAACGAAGGUCAAUCAGUGCAAAAGGAAUGAACUUUAAUGAGGUCUUUUCACACCUGACAAAGGUCACCACAUCCUUUGCUAAAGCAGUCAGAGGGCCUAUUCCCUUUAAAACACAGAGAUCAAGGGUGCAACCCCCCACUGGAGUCUUGUUCUCGCUGAAAAGUCUGGUUUGUAAUUAGUUUACACGUCCCCCUUCACUGUGAAGGCUUCACACAGGGGCAGCCCAUCUUGGUCUCAAUGGCAUUGCCCCAGAGUGCCUCAGAGGAGAAAGUGGCCCUGUGUCUAACUGAAAUAUCACAAAAAAUGGCACUUUUUUUUCGCUCCUGGGUGAGUAAAAUUAAAAAAGGC